ensembl:lncRNA
GUAUAUGUUACGGAAUGUAUGGUAUGUAUUAAUUUGUGGAUGUUCAUCAUCCAUUUCGUGUGAUAUGUUACGAAUGGCAAUUCAUAUGAUAUGUUACGAACUGCAAUUCGUACAAUACGUUACACAUUUUCCAAAUAUAAUAUAUGUUACAAAUUUGCAAACAUAUAUGUUACGAAUUCCAAUUUGUUGUGGCUAAGGUUAGCUAGGUUGCUAGCGCUAACGUUAGCUAGCUGGCUAACGUUAGUUAGGCUAAUGGUUAUGUUAAAGGGUUAGGGGAAAGGUUAGCUAACAUGCUAUGUAGUUACAAAGUAGCUAAAAAUUAGUAUGUAGCUGCUAAAAUUGUCUGUGAUGAGAUUCAAACACACAACUUUUGGGUUGCUAGACAUUUGUGUUAUUCACCCAGACCAACCAGCCUCCUUUCGAUUUUGCCUUAAUGUAACUUCUAUCUUAUGUUACAUUUGGUAUGGUUACAUAUCAUACUAUGUUACUUCUAGUCUAUUAGACCCAUUCUCAGCAACAAAAGAGUGAUCAAAUGAAGAUGUCCUAAAAUGGUAAAUGUGACGUAGUACAGUAGGGCUCACACACACGUGCUCCAACACAUACCUUUAUUGGUAAACAAACAGUCAACUUUAUUAAUAUUGUCACUGUAUUCAACCUUAACAGCAACGAUUCCAAAUGCGUAAUGGCCAACAAAUAAUCCAGGGCAAACAACGGCAGAAUAAAAAAAUUGGGUUUGGCUGGCAGGGCCAGGCUUUUGCCGAGAUACACGUCCAGGCUUUUUUUUAGCAUCCCGUACAGUAACUUGUUUUUAGCCCCAUUAUGAUCUAUGAUGUUCACAGACAUAGGCAAGCACAUUUUCUGUGCCAAUUCAAUAGUUAUUCAUAGUAGUAGUGGCAUCCCACCUUUUCCGUAGGCAGUUCUAUUUGCUCCACAUAGUCUCCAGUCAAUGUUGUCUCUGCAAAUACUGUCAACAUGUUGAGUCAAUCACCCCAAAAAACUUUCUCAUCGAUGCUUCUUCCUGAGGAUUUGAUAAUCUGAGCAUGAAUUAACCUAUUUCAGUGUGGAAUCAUUUACAAUUAGUAAGACUAACAAAGGUGCCAUUCAAAUGGUAAUUUCCAUUAGAAGCUGUUCAAUAAAUGAAUAUUGAUAUAACUAUCUAAUGUACUUUUAAAGUUCCCUUUGUCUUGGUCGGGAGGAGGGGAUUCAUUUUACAAGCAUUGAAAUUACGUCAUGUUAUUGUAUAUAAACUGUUGCUCGUGGGAGCGCGCUCCGA